AAUAAACUUUGGAUUCUGGGGUCAUCCGAGGACACCAUUUAGCCGCUGGGGUCAUCUGAGGUCACUGCUCCUCCAUUCUUUGGGUUGCCCCAUCCUUAAAGUCAAGAGCUCAAAAACAUCCCUUUGCAUAUGUGGGGACCAUCUCAGCAACACAUAACAUUUGCUGAGCAUGUUUGUAGUUUAAAAUGUUUAUUGGUGUUUAAAUGAGUUUUUAAUCCCCUGUGAUAUGCUACAUAUGUGGCCUUAUGUGCCACAGCAGUGCAACUCUUCCAGGAGCUGCAUUUGUGUAAAGCAGUGUUCAGAUUGGGAAAGGGGGGGCUAACAGGCUGGGAUUUUUCUCAGGGGAAAAAGUAAAGCUAAUAUCACUGAGUGAAGCAAGGGUUUUUGCAGCAAGAGCUGCAAGAGUCGCAAAAAUGCACAUUUGCAAGGAGCAUCUAGGAAUUCCCUGUGCCAACAGGGCCUUGCUGCAACAGAUGAGCUGCAACAGAUGCUUCCCCAUCUGAAAAACACUGCAAGGUGGUGAGUUAUUCUGUGGAGGGUUUUUUUCCUUACACUGUGAAUUAAUUCUUUAUCAAUCUUAGUGAAUGUACCUGCUCCAUGUGGAUUUCAGUACCCUUUGCAACAUCUUGUAUAUAACCCCAGCUGAUAACAUUAUUAAAGCACCCAUCUAAGUGGCUGGA